ensembl:snRNA U6 U6 spliceosomal RNA
GUGCUAGCUUUGGCAGCACAUAUACUAAAAUUGAAACAAUACAGAGAAGAUUAGCAUGGCCCCUGCACAAGGAUGACAUGCAAAUUCAUUCCAUAUUUUU